rnacentral:rRNA from 1 species
GACGAACGCUGGCGGCGUGCUUAACACAUGCAAGUCGAACGGAAAGGCCCUGCUUUUGUGGGGUGCUCGAGUGGCGAACGGGUGAGUAACACGUGAGUAACCUGCCCUUGACUUUGGGAUAACUUCAGGAAACUGGGGCUAAUACCGGAUAGGAGCUCCUGCUGCAUGGUGGGGGUUGGAAAGUUUCGGCGUUUGGGGAUGGACUCGCGGCUUAUCAGCUUGUUGGUGGGGUAGUGGCUUACCAAGGCUGUGACGGGUAGCCGGCCUGAGAGGGUGACCGGCCACAUUGGGACUGAGAUACGGCCCAGACUCCUACGGGAGGCAGCAGUGGGGAAUAUUGCACAAUGGGCGGAAGCCUGAUGCAGCAACGCCGCGUGCGGGAUGACGGCCUUCGGGUUGUAAACCGCUUUCGCCUGUGACGAAGCGUGAGUGACGGUAAUGGGUAAAGAAGCACCGGCUAACUACGUG